ensembl:lncRNA
CGUUGACCACUAGAUGGCGCAGUAGGUCAAUACUUGCAGGCUAGUUCAUCAUCGGCGGCGCCAGAUUAUUUACCAACACCUUUGGGAGUUCAAUGGGUUCGUUCGUUCUCAAGGACUCGGGACACGCAUCGACGGCCCGGCGUUGAAAUCAAUUUCCACUCGGGGAGUUUCAUUUAGAGAGCUCCUCUAGAUGAGGCCACUGUCACCCACGAGCCAGAAGCUGAUUAAUGACCUCUAAUAAAGCAAAGGCGUUCGUGUGCACGCACACUGCGUUUCGCUAAUGGACUGACGUCAUGGUGAUCCGUGUGCAAAGAUUAAACCUGGCUGACUUCACGUUGACCCCUUCAGAGUACAGAGGUUUUACAUGGCUGACUUCACUUUGAGGUUAAACCUGGCUGACUUCACGUUGACCUCUUCAGAUUACAGAGGUUUAACCUGGUUGACUUCACGUUGACCCCUUCAGAUUACGGAGGUUUAACCUGGCUGACUACGAGGAUCAGAUUGCGAAAAAAAUGCCAUUUAAAACUAUUACAAUACCAGAAUAGAACCAUAAAUAUUUAGGUUAACACAGAUACACACAACAGUAGCCUAUAUACAUUUGUUUUGCCAUGUACUGUAGCCUCUGGUUCAUAACUCAUAGCGUUGGCCUAAAGGCCUUAUCUGUUAACACAGUUAGUGUGAAUAGUUGAACACUGUAUUGUUAUGUGGCUUGUAUGAAGCUAUGUCUUUCAUUUUAGGAAUGUUGAAAACUAAAUGAGCUGGUUGAUCGUAGUUUAUUCACCUGUAAAAGUAGCUGACCGCCUGAUAGUGUUUGCUGCUUCACUCGGCUUGCUUCAUUUCUACUACAAGAUGCAUUUACACUCAAUGUUUAUUUGCAUUAUGUUGGCCUGACUGUCUCUGGCUGGAUCUGAUUGGAUGUACAAUGAGUGAGUAAACUAGAAAAUGAAAAUGCCUCCAACUGUGCCAAAGACUUAUAUGGCAAUUUUAGAACAUUUGCAAUGUUUUUGUGAUGAACAAAUGCUUAAACAUAAUAAAAAAAAAACGUUCAGUAUACAUAUUUACUAUCCACAAUUGAGUCAUCUAUUUAGUGUUG